rnacentral:rRNA from 1 species
UACGUAGGGUGCAAGCGUUAAUCGGAAUGACUGGGCGUAAAGGGUGCGCAGGCGGUCUGUUAAGUCAGAGGUGAAAUCCCCGGGCUUAACCUGGGAAUGGCCUAUGUGACUGGCAGGCUAGAGGAUGGCAGAGGGAGGCGGAAUUCCACGUGUAGCAGUGAAAUGCGUAGAGAUGUGGAGGAACACCGAGGGCGGAGGCAGCCGCCUGGGCCAAUUCUGACGCUCAGGCACGAAAGCGUGGGGAGCAAACAGG